rnacentral:rRNA from 1 species
GAUGAACGCUGGCGGCGUGCUUAACACAUGCAAGUCGAACGAAGCACUUUAUUUGAUUUCCUUCGGGACUGAUUAUUUUGUGACUGAGUGGCGGACGGGUGAGUAACGCGUGGGUAACCUGCCUUGUACAGGGGGAUAACAGUUGGAAACGGCUGCUAAUACCGCAUAAGCGCCCAGCAUCGCAUGAUGCAGUGUGAAAAGUUCCGGUGGUAUAAGAUGGACCCGCGUUGGAUUAGCUAGUUGGUGAGGUAACGGCCCACCAAGGCGACGAUCCAUAGCCGACAUGAGAGGGUGACCGGCCACAUUGGGACUGGGACACGGCCCAAACUCCUACGGGAGGCAGCAGUGGGGAAUAUUGCACAAUGGGCGAAAGCCUGAUGCAGCGACGCCGCGUGAGCGAAGAAGUAUUUCGGUAUGUAAAGCUCUAUCAGCAGGGAAGAUAAUGACGGUACCUGACUAAGAAGCACCGGCUAAAUACGUG